rnacentral:rRNA from 1 species
CACUGUCAUCCUACGGGGAGGCAGCAGUGGGGGAAUAUUGCACAAUGGGCGCAAGCCUGAUGCAGCCAUGCCGCGUGUGUGAAGAAGGCCUUCGGGUUGUAAAGCACUUUCAGUCGUGAGGAAGGUAGUGUAGUUAAUAGCUGCAUUAUUUGACGUUAGCGACAGAAGAAAGCACCGGCUAACUCCGUGCCAGCAGCCGCGGUAAUACGGAGGGUGCGAGCGUUAAUCGGAAUUACUGGGCGUAAAGCGCAUGCAGGUGGUUUGUUAAGUCAGAUGUGAAAGCCCGGGGCGUCAACUUCGGAAUAGCAUUUGAAACUGGCAGACUAGAGUACUGUAGAGGGGGGUAGGAAUUUCAGGUGUAGCGGUGAAAUGCGUAGAGAUCUGAAGGAAUACCGGUGGCGAAGGCGGCCCCCUCGGACAGAUACUGACACUCAGAUGCGAAAGCGUGGGGAGCAAACAGGAUUAGAUACCCUGGUAG